rnacentral:rRNA from 1 species
GAUGAACGCUGGCGGCGUGCCUAACACAUGCCAGUCGAACGGAGAUUCCGGACGGAAGUUUUCGGAUGGAAGACUGUAAUUCUUAGUGGCGGACGGGUGAGUAACGCGUGGGCAACCUGCCCUAUACAGGGGGAUAGCAGCUGGAAACGGCUGGUAAGACCGCAUAAGUCGGCGAGACCGCAUGGUUUUGCCGGGAAAUGAGCAAUCAGGUAUAGGAUGGGCCCGCGUCCGAUUAGCCAGUUGGCAGGGUAAAAGCCUACCAAAGCAACGAUCGGUAGCCGGACUGAGAGGUCGGACGGCCACAUUGGGACUGAGACACGGCCCAAACUCCUACGGGAGGCAGCAGUGGGGGAUAUUGCACAAUGGAGGAAACUCUGAUGCAGCGACGCCGCGUGAGUGAAGAAGUAUUUCGGUAUGUAAAGCUCUAUCAGCAGGGAAGAUGAUGACGGUACCUGACUAAGAAGCCCCGGCUAACUACGUG